GUGAGGAAUAUUGCGCAAUGGAGGCAACUCUGACGCAGCAAUGCCGCGUGCAGGAAGAAGGCGCUACGCGUUGUAAACUGCUUUUAACCGGGAAGAAACCCCAGGACGUGUCCUGGGUUGACGGUACCGGAGGAAUAAGCACCGGCUAACUACGUGCCAGCAGCCGCGGGAAUACGUAGGGUGCAAGCGUUAAGCGGAAUUACUGGGCGUAAAGAGUGCGCAGGCGGUUGUGUAAGACAGGCGUGAAAUCCGCGGGCUCAGCCUGGGAAUUGCGCUUGUGACUGCACAGCUGGAGUGCGGCAGAGGGGGAUGGAAUUCCGCGUGUAGCAGUGAAAUGCGUAGAUAUGGCACAGAACACCAAUUGCGAAGGCAGCUCACUAAGGCGAUACUGACGCUGAGGCACGAAAGCGUGGGGAUCGAACAGGAUUAGAAACCCUGGUAGUCC
rnacentral:rRNA from 1 species